rnacentral:rRNA from 1 species
UACGGAGGGGGCAAGCGUUGUUCGGAUUUACUGGGCGUAAAGGGCGCGUAGGCGGCUUUGUAAGUUACUUGUGAAAUCUCCGAGCUUAACUCGGAACUGCCAAGUAAUACUGCAGAGCUAGAGUGCAGAAGGGGAAACUGGAAUUCUUGGUGUAGCGGUGAAAUGCGUAGAUAUCAGGAGGAACACCUGAGGCGAAGGCGGGUUGCUGGGCUGACACUGACGCUGAGGCGCGAAAGCUAGGGUAGCAAACAGG